CACACAGAUGCAAGGUCUCCUGAUGGCAGAAAACCUUAUAAAUGCUAGACUGAAAAAAGAAUGUAAACAGCUUGAUGGAGGGGAGGAUCCUGGUGCACCUGUGGUUUUGACAGCUUUUGCUGCUGCUUGAGGAGGAAACAGGUUGCCUGUCUGUUCUUCAAGAGCACUUCUGGCAUCCAGGUAUUAUGCAGGCAUGCACUGCCAGCUGUGAAAGAUGCCGCUUCCUUGUCACUUCAGAGAAUGAUGCUUCUACAGAAGAUCCCUCUUGCUAUUUCAUUCAGGGAGCUCGGGAGAGGAAGACAAAAAGAAUCAAAUGCAAAGCACAGAUCAUUGAAAGGGCCAGGGUCUGAAGUGAGACAACUCGUGUCAGAGUGUUUUCAAACUUGAGAAUGAAGAGAAGAAAGGAAAUUUGGUUUGAUGUUAUCAGUUUUGAUUUGCUAACCCAAAAGGUCCAGAAUAAAGAAAAAAUCAUUAUAAAGGUUCCAAAGAUCUUAAAGAUGUCCCAGAAAAGUUCUAGAGUACUAUCAGAUCUCACACUUUGCCUUGGAAGCUGUCAUUCCCCUCCAUUGGCCCCACAACUGCAGUAUAAUCUUCAGUGACAGGAGAAAAUCGACUUUGUUUGUACAGAAGCCUCGGCAGGAAUAGGCAGAUGCCUGUUUUUGCUGCCAAGGAUGGAGGAUUGGAAUGGGCCCAUUAUAUAUUUUGAGGCUUUGAAGAAAAGUCUCAGGAUAUGUUUUCCCAUUAAAAUACUGUUAUGAACAAUUAG
rnacentral:lncRNA from 1 species